CAGUUCAACAAUUACUUUGAUUAAAAAAUCAUAUUUUGUUAUGUGCAAAUGGCUUUAGAUACCUAUGAGGUCCAUAAAUGACCAUAUAGCAUAUAUUCAACACAACAAAAAACAGUGACAAUUUGUUGUUGACAAAGGACAGCUGGACAAUGAAAGGGACCCAUUACCUUCAGUAGCUCAGGGCCGCAUCAAACCUCAAUAUGGCCCUGCCUUGACCACCCAGACGACAUCCUGAUCCCACUGAGGAGUCCAGACCUGGUGGUGGAGUAGCAGCCUUCUGUGGCUCCCUUAGGAAGCCCCAGAAGAUGCACCAGUAGCCAUGGCUCAGAGAGGAUGGAGCCACAUCUUAAUAUUGGGGGACCAGCCUGACUGUUGGGACAUGAGAUUGCUGCAUGGAGAGAGAUCAGGUCCUAUCUUCUUUUCAUUGCUCCAGUUUUUUAUAUCGUUAAGAUUAGUUAAGGGUUGUGUUCCUCUUGCAGAAGAGAUCUGCGGAAAGAAUUGUGGGGUCUUCUUGAAGCUUCCUUCGUCUCCCACUCUGCCUGAGUUUGCCACCCUAUUACCUUCCAGGCUCCCCCUGCCCCCGGGCUUAUUUUGGGCUAUUGUUUAUUUAUUUGUCAGGCCUGGGUAACUCUUUUAAAGAGAAACCUGUUUUUUCCCUUGCUCUGCCAUCCUGUCAACUUCAAAUAUUAAAAUUUAACCGAGGUGGUACAUGGCUGC